UUUAUGGAGAGUUUGAUCCUGGCUCAGGAUGAACGCUGGCGGCGUGCCUAAUACAUGCAAGUCGAGCGAACAGACGAGGAGCUUGCUCCUCUGACGUUAGCGGCGGACGGGUGAGUAACACGUGGAUAACCUACCUAUAAGACUGGGAUAACUUCGGGAAACCGGAGCUAAUACCGGAUAAUAUAUUGAACCGCAUGGUUCAAUAGUGAAAGACGGUUUUGCUGUCACUUAUAGAUGGAUCCGCGCCGCAUUAGCUAGUUGGUAAGGUAACGGCUUACCAAGGCAACGAUGCGUAGCCGACCUGAGAGGGUGAUCGGCCACACUGGAACUGAGACACGGUCCAGACUCCUACGGGAGGCAGCAG
rnacentral:rRNA from 1 species